rnacentral:rRNA from 1 species
CACUGCCUGCCCAGUGACAAACGUUAAACGGCCGCGGUAUCCUGACCGUGCAAAGGUAGCAUAAUCAUUUGUUCUCUAAAUAAGGACUUGUAUGAAUGGCCACACGAGGGUUUUACUGUCUCUUACUUCCAAUCAGUGAAAUUGACCUUCCCGUGAAGAGGCGGGAAUAAACAAAUAAGACGAGAAGACCCUAUGGAGCUUUAACUAAUUAGUCCAAAGAAAACAAGCUUAACCAUCAAGGGAUAACAACACCCUCCGUGGACUAACAGCUUUGGUUGGGGUGACCUCGGAGAAUAAAAAAUCCUCCGAGCGAUUUUAAAGACUAGACCCACAAGUCAAAUCAAACUAUCGCUUAUUGAUCCAAAAAUUUGAUCAACGGAACAAGUUACCCUAGGGAUAACAGCGCAAUCCUAUUCAAGAGUCCAUAUCGACAAUAGGGUUUACGACCUCGAUGUUGGAUCAGGACACCCCGAUGGUGCAACCGCUAUCAAA